UGGGGAAUCUUGGACAAUGGGGGCAACCCUGAUCCAGCGAUGCCGCGUGGGUGAAGAAGGCCUUCGGGUUGUAAAGCCCUUUAGGUUGGGAAGAAGUAUAUGGUAGGAAAUGACUAUAUAUUGACGGUACCGACAGAAUAAGCACCGGCAAACUCUGUGCCAGCAGCCGCGGUAAUACAGAGGGUGCGAGCGUUAAUCGGAGUUACUGGGCGUAAAGGGCGCGUAGGCGGAAAUAUGAGUGUUAUGUGAAAGCCCUGGGCUUAACCUGGGAAGUGCAUAGCAAACGAUAUAUCUGGAGUACAAGAGAGGGUGGCGGAAUUUCCGGUGUAGCGGUGAAAUGCGUAGAGAUCGGAAGGAACGCCGAUGGCGAAGGCAGCCACCUGGCUUGAUACUGACGCUGAGGCGCGAAAGCGUGGGGAGCGAACAGGAUUAGAUACCCCCGUAGUCC
rnacentral:rRNA from 1 species